rnacentral:rRNA from 1 species
UUAAAUUGAAGAGUUUGAUCAUGGCUCAGAUUGAACGCUGGCGGCAGGCCUAACACAUGCAAGUCGAACGGUAACAGGAAUCAGCUUGCUGAUUCGCUGACGAGUGGCGGACGGGUGAGUAAUGUCUGGGAAACUGCCUGAUGGAGGGGGAUAACUACUGGAAAC